UACGUAGGUGGCAAGCGUUAUCCGGAAUACUGGGCGUAAAGCGCACGCAGGCGGUCUUUUAAGUUUGACGUGAAAGCUCCCGGCUUAACUGGGAGAGGUCGUUGAAUACUGGAAGACUUGAGGCAAUGAGAGGGGUGUAGAAUUCCCGGUGUAGUGGUGGAAUGCGUAGAUAUCGGGGGGAAUACCAGUGGCGAAGGCGGCGACCUGGGUC
rnacentral:rRNA from 1 species